rnacentral:sRNA from 1 species
AAGUAUUUUUGGUCAGGUAUUAC